rnacentral:tRNA from 1 species
AGGUCUAGCGCCAAGCGGUAAGGCCGCGGCUUUUGAUGCCGCCGUUCCCUGGUUCGAAUCCAGGUAGCCCUGCCA